AUUGAACGCUGGCGGAAUGCUUUACACAUGCAAGUCGAACGGUAGAGGGGGCAACCCCUCGAGAGUGGCGAACGGGUGAGUAAUAUAUCGGAACGUGCCCAGUCGUGGGGGAUAACGUAGCGAAAGUUACGCUAAUACCGCAUACGAUCUAAGGAUGAAAGCGGGGGAUCGCAAGACCCCGCGCGAUUGGAGCGGCCGAUAUCAGAUUAGGUAGUUGGUGGGGUAAAGGCUCACCAAGCCAACGAUCUGUAGCUGGUCUGAGAGGACGACCAGCCACACUGGAACUGAGACACGGUCCAGACUCCUACGGGAGGCAGCAGUGGGGAGUUUUGGACAAUGGGCGCAAGUCUGAUCCGGCCAUUCCGCGUGCAGGAUGAAGGCCCUCGGGUUGUAAACUGCUUUUGUACGGAACGAAAAGGUCUCUCUUAAUACGGGGGACUCAUGACGGUACCGUAAGAAUAAGCACCGGCUAACUACGUGCCAGCAGCCGCGGUAAGAC
rnacentral:rRNA from 1 species